rnacentral:lncRNA from 1 species
UCAUUGAAGGCUCGAGAGGAUGAUCUAGGUCUGCAUGCUCACACAAUUGAUUACACACACAAUCAUUCAGCAUGCAAUCCACAUCAUCAUUCCUCAUCAAUGAAAUUCACACAUCACAUCACAAUUUUUACCAAUUAAAUCUCGUCCUAGAACCGUAAAUGCUCUGAUACCAAAUUGAAAGAACCCAUCCCAUUUUUUUUUUAAACAUGCAAACCGGAUUAACCCAAUUAAUUCGAACCAACUAAACCGACAUAAUAAUUU